rnacentral:rRNA from 1 species
CAAAUCUGCCAAGGCGCUUGAGAGAACUCGGGUUAAGGAACUCUGCAAAUUGAUACCGUAACUUCGGAAGAAGGUAUGCCUUCGACGGUGUAGGGAUUUACUCCCGAAGCUGUUGAAGGUCGCAGGUAAUCGGUGGCUGCGACUGUUUAUCAAAAACACAGGACUCUGCGAACACGCAAGUGGAAGUAUAGGGUCUGACGCCUGCCCGGUGCCGGAGGGUUAAUUGAUGGGGUUAGCCGCAAGGCGAAGCUCUUGAUUGAAGCCCCGGUAAACGGCGGCCGUAACGAUAACGGUCCUAAGGUAGCGAAAUUCCUUGUCGGGUAAGUUCCGACCUGCACGAAUGGCGUAACGCUGGCCACACUGUCUCGACCCGAGACUCAGUGAAGUUGAAAUCGCUGUGAAGAUGCGGCGUUCCCGCGGCAAGACGGAAAGACCCCGUGAACCUUCACUACAGCUUUACACUGAACUUUGAACCUUUCUGUGUAGGAUAGGUGGGAGGCUAUGAAACUUGGGCGCUAGCUCGAGUGGAGCCAACCUUGAAAUACCACCCUGGGAUGUUUGAAGUUCUAACCUUGGUCCGUAAUCCGGAUUGGGGACAGUGUAUGGUGGGUAGUUUGACUGGGGCGGUCUCCUCCCAAAGAGUAACGGAGGAGUGCAAUGGUACGCUCAGCGCGGUCGGUCAUCGCGCUCUAGAGUGCAAAGGCAUAAGCGUGCUUAACUGUGAGACAGACACGUCGAACAGGUACGAAAGUAGGUCUUAGUGAUCCGGUGGUUCUGUAUGGAAGGGCCAUCGCUCAACGGAUAAAAGGUACUCCGGGGAUAACAGGCUUAUUCCUCCCAAGAGUCCACAUCGACGGAGGAGCUUGGCACCUCGAUGUCGGCUCAUCACAUCCUGGGGCUGUAGCAGGUCCCAAGGGUAUGGCUGUUCGCCAUUUAAAGUGGUACGCGAGCUGGGUUCAGAACGUCGUGAGACAGUUCGGUCCCUAUCUGCCGUGGGCGUUGGAAACUUGAGGGUGAGCUGUCCUUAGUACGAGAGGACCGGGAUGGACGUAUCUCUGGUGUUCCGGUUGUCACGCCAGUGGCACUGCCGGGUAGCUAUAUACGGACGGGAUAAGCGCUGAAAGCAUCUAAGCGCGAAGCCCCCCCCAAGAUUAGGUUUCCCUGGGAACUCGAUUCCCCUAAAGGGCCGUCGGAGACUACGACGUUGAUAGGCUGGGUGUGUAAGUGCAGCAAUGCAUUGAGCUAACCAGUACUAAUUGCCCGUGAGGCUUGAGC